ACAGUCACUGAGUUAUUGGAUGAACUUGGCACUAUUCUGGCUUCUCAGGGUCAUCAACCCUUUAGUGGUGAAGAUUACCUCUCUCUCUCUCUGGGUUGUAAAUAUUGACUCUUAAUGAAAGACUACAGAGAUGGGUCACUGAAACUUCCUUCUGCAGGCAGGACAUUUGCAUGCUGUUAAUUAAAACCGAACAGUUCUAAAAUAGCCAGGGAAGUCCUCUGAUGGCCUAGUUUGGGUGAGAUUCCCAUCUAUGGACUCAACAGCUUGGGCCAAAGACAUGGUCAGUUGUGUUCACAUGGCAUUCUUGGAAUGGGGGAAGGAGAGGGGCAUUUCCUGUGGAAGAGAGAAUUGCAUUAUCAGAAUACCUGGCUUCCCGGUCUUCCCCACUGGUCCUGGGAAUCCUCGACUUCCAGGAAAACCAAAGAGCCCCCGAUCACCUUUAAGACCUGGAGGACCUACAUGGUAUGAAAAGAAAAUUUCACCUCCCUUGACUGGACUGGACAAGUUGAAAUAAGAGGGUCAAAAGUGUCACCUAAAGCCUUUGGAAAGAAAUGCAAGUAUACCCAGAUCUGCCUGUACAAGAGUACCGCACUCAAAUAGAGAGACGUCGGUUUUUAUCACUCUGACUGUGCCUGCCUUCCCUCAUCCAAAAUCUUGUUCUAGAUUAAGAUGUCUCUACCCUCUGCUGCCUCCCUCCCCGUUUAGU